UACGUAGGGACCAAGCGUUGUUCGGAUUUACUGGGCGUAAAGGGCGCGUAGGCGGCAAUUCAAGUCAUCUGUGAAAUCUCCGGGCUUAACUCGGAACGGUCAGAUGAUACUGCUUUGCUAGAGUGCGGAAGGGGCAAUCGGAAUUCUCGGUGUAGCGGUGAAAUGCGCAGAUAUCGGGAGGAACACCGGUGGCGAAGGCGGUUCUCUGGGCCUUACCUGACGCUGAGGAGCGAAAGCGUGGGGAGCAAACAGG
rnacentral:rRNA from 1 species